GAAAGACGGCGCCCGGAGCCAGCCGGGAGCUGGGCAGCAGCGGCCGAGGAGGAAGAAGCAGCUGCGGCGGCCACACCCUGGAUGAGAGAUGGAGUCUCACUGUGUUGCCUAGGUUGGAGUGAAGUGGUGCAAUCAUAGCUCCCUGCAGUCUCCAACUCCUGGGCUCAAGGGAUCCUCUUGCCUUGGCCUCCCAAGUAGCUGAGAUCACAGUUGUGUACCACCAUUUCCGGCUACUUUUAAAAAAUUAUUUUGUGUAGAGAUGGAGUCUUGCUAUGUUGCCUAGGCUGGUCUCAAACUCCUGGCUUCAAGCAAUCCUACCACCCCACCCUCCCAAAGUGCUGAGACUAUAGGCAUGAGCCACUGCACCCAGCCAAGUCUGUUUCUUAAACUGAUAAAUCACAGGACUACUAUAUAAACCCAGAAUAACAAAUUACUAAUUUAUAAUGAGAAUUUUAACAUCUUAGGGAACUAGACUCUCUUUUAUGAUCCCAGCAAAAUAUCUCUCGGUAUAUGUGCCACAUUUGAGAGCCAAAUUACAGCCAAAAGGUUGUUUUUGAAACUUGAAUCUAGAGCAAGAGGAAUUAAUUAGUGGAUUCUAAAUUUCAAAUAAUUUGAUAGCUUCAGAGCAUCAAGGUGUACACAUAGGUUCUUUUUUCCUGGACAGUAAGUGUCCACUGAUGAUUGUCCUCCCUUCUUAGGUACAUCUCUUUUUCUAUCUCUGAUAUGCUAAUAUUUUCAGUCAGAUUAUAAUCUGGUUUGGGGAUCCUUGUGACUGUUUCAAGUGUCUACAUUUAUUCUCUAAAUCAGUUUAUCUUAAUUGUAAAGUUUAAAUUCUAAGUGGCAAGCUUAUUUUCUUUAAGAAAAAAUAAUGAUGGGGUAGGGAGGUGGGGCUGGGGUACCAUAUGACAGCCCCUACAUGCUGGCAAUAUAAACCAGGUGGUUAAUGGCACCUCUCUAUGGUGCUAAAAGGCAGAUGAGGCCGGUCACGGUGGCUCAUGCCUGUUAAUCCCAGCACUUUGGGAGGCCAAGGCCGGUGGAUCACUUGAGGUCGGGAGUUUGAGAUCAGUCUGGUCGACAUUGUAAAACUCCAUCUCUAAUGAAAAUACAAAGAAUUAGCUGGGUGUGGUGGUGCGCCUGUCAUCCCAGCUACUCAGAAGGCUGAGGAAGGAGGAUCACUUGAACCAGGGAGGCGGAGGUUGCAGUGAGCCGAGAUUGCACCACUGCACUCCAACCUGGGUGGCAGAGUGAGACUCCAUCUCAAAAAAGAAAAAUUAAAAAAUUAAAAAAUUAAAAAAGGCAGAUGAUCAGAGACAGCUUUAUACAGGAGGUGAAUUUUUGUCUGGCUUGACAAGAUAACAAAGCCAGGUUGAGUGGGAAGAAAAUUUUGCCAAAAGAACACAAGCAGAUUUAUGACAGUGGGAAGAUGCUUUAUUGAAGUGAAUCCCAUGCUGUGAUAGAAAUUUUCUGUGAGGAUUUAAUUCAAACUCGAUCCUUUUUCAAGUAUAUAACUAUUUAAAAAGAGAAAUUAAGUGAAUUGUCAGCUGUUGGCCAUCUGCCUCAAUGUGUGCUUUUGAAGCCCAGCAGAUUGCACAUUCUGUGUAGGUGGAUAGCUUGAAACCUGCAGACAACUGUCAGAGGACAAUGACUUCAGAGAAGAUUCAGUGAAUUUCUAACGUCAAACUUCAACUACUGUAAUAUGCUUGCCUAGCCAUCUCUUUGUUGUUGCUGUUCUACAGCUUUAUUGGGAUAUAACUGACAUACAAUAAACUGGGCAAAUUUAAAGUGUGCAAUUUGAAGUUUCAACGUAUGUAUAUACCUGUGAAAUCAUCACCACAAUCAAGAUGACGAACUUAUCCAUGAUCCCAAAAAGUUUCCUUCUGCCCUUUUUAAAUUCCUCCUUCGCCCCUCUGCUUUUGUCAUUAUAUAUUACUUUGCAUUUCCUAGAAUUUCAUAUAAAUGGAAUCAUACAGUAUCUACUCUUUGUUGUUGUCCGGCUUCUUUCACUCAGCAUAAUUAUUUUGAAACUUAUCUAUGCUGUUGUGGGUAUCAGUAGCUCAUUUCCUUUUGUUGCUGAGUAGUAUUUCAUUGUAUGAAUGUGCUACACGUUAUUGAUUCACCAUUCGUUGAGUUGUUUCCAGUUUUAUGGCUAUUACAAAUAAAGUUGCUAUAAUUAUUUGUGCACAUGUCUUUCAUUUCUCUUGGGCACAUUUCUCGGGGUAUAUAACACUAGGCAUGCUUUUAAAGAAACUGCCAAAUCAUUUUCCAAAAGGGUUGUACCUUUUACAUUCCCACUAGCAAUGUAUGAAGGUUCUCAUUUCUCCACCUCCUUCUCAAUACUUGUUACUGUACAUCUUUUAUAUUAUAGCCAUUCUAGUGGGUGUGAAAUCUUGUUAUGGUUUUUUGACUUAAAUUUCCCUAAUGAUUAAUGAUAUUGAGUUUUUUUUCCAUGAGCUUGAUUAUUAUCUACAUAUUUUUGGUAAAGUGUCUGUUGAAAUAUUUUGCCCAUUUUCCAUUGAGUUGUUUGGGUUUCACUGAGUUCAUUGGGUUCAUUUCAUAUUCUAAAUGCAAGUUUUAUCAUAUAUGUUCUUUGCAAAUAUUUUCUCCCACUGUGCAGAUUGUCUUUCCAUUUUAGUAACAGUGUCUUUUGAAGACCAGACAUUUUAAAAUUUUGCUGUGGUAAAUAAACAUUAUCAGUUUUUUCUUUUAUGGUUCUGCUUUUAAUGUCGUAUCUAAGAAAUCAUUACUUAAUCCAGAUUACAAAAAUAUUCUAUUUUUUUCUAGAAGUUUUAUAGUUUUGCAUUUUUACAUUUAGGCCUAUGAUCCAUUUGAGUUAACUUUUGUAUAUGGUGAUCAAGGUGUUUUUUUUUUUCUUAUCUUUUUUUUUUUUUGCAUGUAGAUGUACAGUUGUUCUAACACUGUUUGUUAAGAGCACUAUCCUUUUUCCAUUUAAUUGCCUUAGCACCUUUGUUCAAAUCAAUUGACCACAUAUAUAAUUGUCUGUAUCUGGGUUUCCAUUGUGUUUGACUGAUUUAUUUAUCUGCCUUUUUUUUUUCUUUUUCUUUUUUUGAGAUGGAGUCUAACUCUGUUGCCCAGGCUGGAGUGCAGUGGCACAAUCUUGGCUCACUGCAACCUUCGCCUCCUGGGUUCAAGCAAUUCUACUGCCUCAGCCUCCCUUAUCUAUCUUUAGACCAAUACCAAACUGAUUUGGUUACAGUAGCUUUAUAUGUUUUGAAAUCACGUAGUCAAAUUCUUGAGCUUUGCUCUUCUUAUUCAAAAUUGUUUUCAUUGUGUUAGGUUCUUUGAAUUUCCAUAUACAUUUCAGAAUUCACUUGUAAAUGUAGACAAAAAGCCAGUGGGGUAUUUGAUUGGGGUUACAUUGAGUCUAUAGAUCAACUUAUAGAGAAUUGAUAUCUUAACAACAUUGGGUCUUCUGAUGCAUGAACAUGACAUAUUAUUUCAUUUAUUUUGGUUAAUGGUUCUCCGCUAAGGGUAAUUGUGCAUCACAAGGGACAUUUGACAGUAUCUAGACACAAACAACUAGAGCAUAAGAGCCCCUUUGCUGUACCCACAGUCUUGUAUUUACAGUCUAUACUUCCAUUCUUUCAGGAGGUUUGCUCCCAGAACUGGUGAUAUAAAGAAGGAAAGUAGCAGUAUGAGCACUUUGAGGGCUAAGCAAUGGGAUAAUAUCUUUCUAAGGGAACAGUUAAAUCAACUUCAUUUGGUCUUCCAUGGACAUGAGUUUCAAGUGGCUUUCUGGCCUUUCUUCUGUUGGCCUCUUCGCUAUUAUGUGAAGACUUCAUUUAUACUCAAUCUAAUUCAGCUACCAUGGGCCAUAUCACCAGUGCCCAUUGUGUUCUAUGCAUCCUAAUAUUUUCAUUAAUCUGAAGGGGAGAGGGUUUUAACUUUGAAGGAUACUCAAGAGGACUUUCUUAUGAACUCAGAUGGAAAGUGUCCUGAAAUUUGUCCUUUUAAAAAUAUCUGUGCAUUUUUUUGUGCUAUGACAUUCUUACAUGUAUCAUUCUGUGAUCAAAUCUCCAGCUUACUAUAAAUGAUACCUACAUUCUAAAGAGCCAAUUCUAGUUGUACCAGCAUGGCCUUAGAGAAAAGUAAGAGAAUACAAUUUUUAUUUAUCUUCUAUUUGGUCGCAGUUAAGUAUUUAAAACAGUAAGGUAGAUCUCAGAUCCACCACCAUUAAAAAUAAAUAAAUAAAUAAAUAAAUAAAUAAAUAAAUAAAAUAGUGAAGUAGAAAGAAGAGACAAAGAUCCAAACCUUUCAAAAUGAAAAAUGAAUUUUAAAUAUAAGGUUAUAUUUUAUUACCUACUGCUGAGACCAUCAUUGCAUAAAUGAAUAAAUAGAACUAAAUAGUCCAGUCACAGUGGCUCACGCCUGUAAUCUCAGCACUUUUGGAGGCCGAGGCACGCAGAUCACGAGGUCAGGAGACACAGACCAUCCUGGCCAACAUGGUGAAACCCUGUCUCUAUUAAAAAUACAAAAGUUAGCUGGGCGUGGUGGCAUGCGCCUGUAAUCCCAGCUACUCGGGAGGCUGAGGCAGGAGAAUCGCUUGAACCAGGGAAGCAGAGGUUGCAAUGAGCCAAGAUCACACCACUGCACUCCAGCCUGGUGACACAGCGAGACUCUGUCUCAAAAAAAAAAAAAAAAAAAAAAAAAAGAACUAAAUAAACUCUUCUUCCCCCACAAAUUUACCAGUUUAGCCAUUUUAAGUGUACAGGUCAGUAGUUGCAUUAAGUACAUUCACAUUAUUAUGCAACAAGUACCACCAUUCAUCUCCAAAAUUUUCUCUUUUUCCAAAACUGAAACUCUGUAUCCAUUAAACAGUAGCUACCCAUUCUCCCUCCCCUACCUCCUGGUAACCACUAUUCUACUUUCUGGCUCUAUGAAUUUGACUACCCUACUCUAGCCACCUUUUAUAAGUGGGAUCAUAUAUUUGUUGUUUUGUCUCCAGCCUAUUUCACUUAGCAUAAUCUCUUUUAGGGUCAUCCAUGUUGUAGCAUGUGUUGUAAUUACGUACUUUUUUGUGUGUGAGAUAGAGUCUUACUCUAUCAUCCAGGCUGGAGUGCACUGGCACAAUCAUGGUUCAAUGCAGCUUUGACCUCCUGGGCUCAAUCGAUCCUCCCACAUUGGCCUCCCAAAUGGCUGGGAUUACAAGCAAUUUUUUUGGUAUUUUUGUAGAGAUGGGGUCUCAGUUUGUUGCUCAGGCUUAUAAUGAUGUACCUUUUAAAAGGCCAAAUCAUAUUCCAUUAUAUGUUUAUACAACAUUUUAUUAAUCCAUUCAUCUGUUAAUGGAAAUUUCAAUUGUUUCCACCUUUUGCCACUGUGAAUAAUGCUGCAACACAUAUGGAUGUACAGAUGUCUCUCUGUGUCCCUGUUUUCAAUGCUUUUGGGUUGCAAAAGAAGAGGGAUUAUUGCAUAUAUGGUAAUUCUAUAUUUAAUUUUUUGGACCGACCAUACUGUUCUCUACAGCAGCUGCACCAUUUUACAUUCCCACCAACAGUGUACAAGGGUUUCAGUUUCCCCAUAUCUUCAUGAACACUGAUAUUUUCUGUUUUUGUUUUUUAAAAUAAUUGCCAUCCUAAUGGGUAUAAAGUGAAAUAUCAUUGUGGUUUUGAUUUGCAUUUCCUUACUGAUUAGUGAUGUAAAAGAUAUUUUUAAAGUUUCAUAUUUACUGACAUAUUUACCAUUUCCAAUAUUCUUCAUUAUUUUCAUGUGGUAUCAUUUUCCUUCUGCCUGAAAGAAUUUCUUUAAUCCUUCUUAUUCUUGUGCAGAUUUGCUGGUGGGAAAAUUCUUUCAGCUUUUGUAUGUGAAAAAGUCUUUAUUUCACCUUCAUGUUUGAAAGAUAUUCUUGCUGGUUAUCAGGACUGACUACAUACUUCGUGGGGCUCAAUGCAAAAUAAAAAUGUAGACCCCUCUUCAAAUAUUAUUAAGAAUUUCAAGUCAUCAACAACAGAGCAUUAAACCAAGCCAGUCCUUCUGAGUGCAAAGCCCUGUGUGACUACACGGGUUGUAUGCACAAGAAACCUACUCUGCUGGUUGUAGAAAUCCAGGUGACUGCUCUUUUUUUCCUUCAGCUCUUUAAAGAUGUUGCUCUGUUGUCUUUUUUUUUUUCCUGAGAUGGAGUUUCGCUCUUGUUGCCCAGGCUAGAGUGCAAUGAUGCCAUCUCGGCUCACCACAACCUCGACCUCCCGGGUUCAAGUGAUUCUCCUGCCUCAGCCUCCUGAGUAGCUGGGAUUACAGGCAUACGUCACCAUGCCCAGCCAAUUUUGUAUUUUUAGUAGAGAUGGGGUUUCUCCAUGUUGGUCAGGCUGGUCUCGAACUGCUGACCUCAGGUGAUCUGCCCUCCUCAGCCUCCCAAAGUGCUGGAAUUACAGGCAUGAGUCAGUGCGCCUGGCUUCUCUGUUGUGUUUUAAUUUUCAAGUUAUGCUCUCAUUCUUAUCCUUGUUUCUCUCUAUAUAAUGUUCUUUUUUCUCCUGAAUACUUAUAAAUUUUUCUCUUUAUCACUGAUCUUAAGCAAUUUGAUUAAAAUGUGCCUAGGUGUGGUUACUUUCAUGUUUCUCGUGCUUUGGAUUUGUUACGCUUACCGGAUCUGUGUGUUUACAGUUUUCAUUAUACUUGGACAAUUUUCAGCCAUUAUUUUUUGAAAAAUUUUUGUUGCCCUCUAUAACUCCUUUCCUUUAGGGACUUCAGUUACAUAUAUAUUAGGUCAUUUAAAUUUUUCCCAUUGAUCACUGAUGCUCUGUUCACUUUUUGUCUUCUUUCUCUUGUUUUAUUUUUGGAUCAUUUUCAUUGCUAUGUCUUUAAGUUCACUAACUUUUUCUUCUACAGUGUCUAAUCUGUUGUUAAUUCCAUCCAGUGUAUUCUUCAUCUCAGAUAUUGUCUUUUUCAUCUCUAGAAGUUUGUAACUUUCAUGUAUUAAUUUUUUUUCUUUUUUUUUGAGAUGGAGUUUCACUCUUGUCAAUGUUACAAUCUCAGCUCCUUGCAACCUGCAAUCUCUGCCUCCCGGGUACAAGCAAUUCUCCUGUCUCAGCCUCCUGAGUAGCUGGGAUUACAGGCACCCACCACCACGCCUGGCUAAUUUUUGUAUUUUUAGUAGAGAUGGGGUUUCACCAUGUUGGCCAGGGUGGUCUCAAAUUUCUGACCUCAGGUGAUCUGCCCGCCUCCUCCCAAAGUGCUGGGCUUACAGGCGUGAGGCACUGUGCCCGCCCAUGUAUUAAUAUUUUACUUCAUUUGAUCAAUCUUUGUUCUACUUUCUUGAACAUUUGAAAUACUAUAAUAACAAUUCUAACAUUUGUUCAGUUCUGAGUAUGUUUCUGGUAAUUGAUUUUUCUCUUCAUUUUAAGUACUGUUUCCUGCUUCUUUGCACACCUGGCAAUACUUUGAUUUGAUACCACACAUUAAACAUUUUACAUAUUGGGUGUUAGAUAGUUUUGCAUUCCCAUAAACAUUAUUGAGCUUUAUUCUGGGUCACAGUUAAGUUAGUUGGAAACAGAUCCUUCUUGAUCUUAAGCUUCAUUAUGGGGAACCCAAGCAACUUUUUAAAGAUGAUUAAUUUUCCCCAUUACUUGGGUGAUACCCUUCUAAGUACUCUAGCCAAUAUCCUGUUAAUUAUGAGGCUUUUCCCACUUUAGUAGAUGAUGAAACAAACUACUUCCAGCCUUGUAUGAGCCAAGAGGAUUGUUUAAUCUGAUUCUCUUGUGUGGUUCUUACCCCAACCUUGGUAGUUUCCUGAUAUACUGAUCAGUAUUCAGCUGAAUAUUCAGGGAGACUCUCCACAGAUCUCUGGAAUUUUCUAUUCUUUCUGGUACUCUUCCCCAUGAACUCUACCUGCCUUGGCCUUCUCAAAUCUCUGCAUGAUCUCUUCAACUCAGGGAGAUCACCAGGCUCUGCCUGGAUUGCCUCUCUGUGAGUUCUGGGGCAGUUAAGUAGGACAGUUAUAUGGCUUACUUUGCUUGUUUCUCUCUUCUCUUGGAUAACUUUCCUAUGUUGUCUGAUAUCCAGUGUCUGAAAAUAAUUAUUUUAUAUAUCUUGUCCUAUUUUUUAGUAAUUUCUGUCAGGGGUGAAGGGGAAUGAAUACCAACCCUAUUACCGCAUGCUGUCUGGAAGUAGAAGUGUCUUUCUAGCCACAUUAUAAAUUAGUAGUUUUCAACCCUGACUACAUAUUAGAAUUAUUUGGGGGAGGUCUUUAAAAAGCUGAUGUAAGGCUUCAUUCCAGACCAAUUAAAUCAGACUUUUUCAGAUUGAGGUCCCGCACAAGGGAGGGACUGUUCUCAGUAGGAGGCUGGACUCAGAGCGGCGCGGCUCCCGGGGCUGUUUCGUGAGCUGGAGCCAGCGGCUGCCCGGGCGGCGGUGUGCGCACUCUCCAGGCUGAGACACGACUGGCUGGCACGAGUUGCUCGGCACCAGCUGAGCUGUCAACCGCGAGCGGAGGCGGGGCUCCCGACAACCAGUGUGCUGGGGCAGAAUCGGCCCAGGUUGCACGCCCCCUGAACCACCCUCGCGUCUCCCCGACCCCUCUCUCACUGGCUCAGAUGAAUGAUGACGGCAGAGGGCAGAGAGCUUAGAGGACGCCAUACCAAGCCCCGUCCCUCGCCCAUCCCAACGAAGGUCUUAGAAUACAAUCAACCAACUACAGGAAGAAUUUGUAGAGGAGGUUUUCUUGUGUGUCUGCAUCGCCCCACCCACAGCCAUGUGAGGACACAGCAUCUGUGGCAACAAGGAGCCAUCUUGGGAGCAGAGAGCAAGCUCUUCCAGACACUGAAUCUGCCAGCACCUUGAUCUUGGUCCAGCCUUCAGAACUAUCAGUUGUGCUGGGGGAACUAAGCUACCGUGUUAUAAGCAGACCUAUUGUGUGGACAGGAACUAAAGCCUGCCAAAUACCGUGUGCGUGAGUCUGAAAACGGACCUUUCAGCCCCUGUCGAGUCUUGAGAUGACAGCAGCCCCAGCUGAGUGCUUGACUGCAACCUCAUGAGAGAACUUGAGGCAAUUCUAACCAGCUAAGCUGCUCCCAGAUUUCUGACCCUCCAAAACUAAGCAAUGCCUAUAACAUCCUUCUAGGAAACCAAUCUGGUGCUUGCUCUAUGGACUAUGCAAUCUCAGGCUUGGAGGUAAGAAAGAAUGUCCUUUCUUGGCAGAGCAGGGACACCGAGACAUUGGAUAUCUUUUAUUAAAAAGGAUACAUUUGCAUUAUAAAUACUGCAGAUGAAAUCAGGUAGAGGUGAACAGACUGGUUUGGUCUGCUCUAAACUGAGCUGUUAAACAUGUAAAAGUAAAUUUAAACCACAAGGGCUUUAUAAAUCUAUAGAUAGAUGUAAACUUGUGAGCCUUAGUUUAUUGUUUCAUCAAAAAAAUACUAGGAGGUCAUUAAAUAUUAAUCAACACUUCUUAGAUCUGUGCAAAUAAAAUGGAUCAAAUUAAAAUGUAAAAUCAAUAGUACUGAUUAGGAACAUUGUUCAGCAAAUGUAGGUAGACAAACAUGUCCUGUAGAGAAGGAAACAUGACCGCAAGAUGAAAUGUAAAAACCAAAGUGACAUCUGGGCCUGACACCAUUGUCAGCCCGUUCAUCAUGUCGCACUGCUGAAGAAACAGAGAAAAAAAACCUCUGCACUCUGACAUAAAGAAACAAUAAAAGGGUCUCUCUGUCUACCUGCAGUCCUCCAAAUGAAUAAAACCUUGAGCAUUUCCUGAGAGUUGCUAACUCCUUAAUGAAAAUCACUUUAUCCUUGACUUUACAAUGCUGUUUAUUGUCUGAAGAUAUGUCAUGAACUUUCUGAAUACAAUAACCAUGAUAAAAUUGCUGUUUUCUGCCAUGAAGAGAUUAAUAUAAACCCUAUAGUCUUCAUAAUAUUGUUUGUUUUAAAAAGUUCUAUUUUUUUAAUUUUUUGGGCAGUUCUUUUGAAGACUGACUUCCUCACAUUUCUUUGCAAGUAAAUGCCUCCUUCUGCUUAUUUUUCCAACAUGCUUUUGUUUCUGAGCCUUUCUUUCAUGCUCUAUACACACAAAUCAGCAGGAGAUAGUACCUGCAGCUGUAUUUGGAGUUUACUGCCUCAAUGUUCGCUUUCAAUGAAAGAGCGUAUUUCUUAACAGAAGACCAGAAAUUCAUGCUGAACCAAUAAAUUGUCCUCUAUAGUUUUCAUCUGCAAGGAGGAUUUAAAUAUUUCUAGCUCAGUAGUUCAGCCCUGAAGAUUAUUUCACCCCCACUGCUAAUCCCGAUCUAAUCUGUUUUUGUGUUGUUAAUGCUCCUAUAUACUAGCCAGGUCAGUAAUUCUGUAACAGGCUUAAUUUCUUAAUAUUUUAGGCCAUGUGUUAAUUUUACUAUUUCUUAGCCAUUUUUCCUCAAUAGUUUUAAAUUGCAUCCCUGCUUACUCUCCCUUUUACUGGACGGGCUUCCUCUGUUUACUAAUACAAUUCCCCAAAUUGAUUCAUCUACUUGUUGAAAUACCUAAUUUUAGGCCCGGCACUGACAGCUUGCCUAGGCUUAUACUUGUUGUGUUUGGUGUUGCAGUCUCCAGAUUCUAAAAACACCAUCUAGACCUUACAUUACCUCCAGCCAGGGCUAUUCCCCCAGAGCCUACCUUAAGAAGCAGAUUUCUUUUCAAGUUUCAUCUUCUUCCCAUUUAUUUCAUUUCAUGACAGUUAGAGAAGCUGUAUACUAACGUGACAAAUGGUAAGUUAGCAGAGAAAGACGUUAUUUCAGGAUAAGUUCAGGGAAAGCUUUUUGGAGGAAAGUCAGCUCACAUUAGUCCUGAUGAUGGAUAGUGUAUAGAGACUACAGAUGAUGGAACGAUGAGGUGGAAACUCGAGUGGCUACAUACGGACAUUCCACAUAGAAGCAGUGUGAGCAAAACCACCAAGACAGGAAAUGAGAUGGAAUUGAUAAGGCAAUGCAAAUAAUUCAGGUUAUUUAGAUCAUCAGUGUUGGGGGAAGCUGGGUUUAUGGGAAUCAAUGGUUAAUCAGAAUGUGAGCACCGUUGGUUUGGUAAUUCAUGGAAGAGGUUAUCAUUCAACAGGGAGAGUGGCUUCUCGAUUAUAAACAUGUCUGAAGGUCACUGAACAUCAACGCUAUCCUUCAGUUAAAAUCUUACUAAAAUUAUACUGACCUCUGAUGACCUUCAGAGAGCUCCAGCUAGAAUGAUUGAUGAUAAGAGAAAUUCGAGAAGGCAAUGGGGCAAAUCUUUGUGCAAAUCUCUGUUAUGUCAUAUAUCUAAGGCUUCUGCUGGAUCCAGUGAUUUGUUUGUUCUGACUGUAGUACAAAUCUAUUGGAACAAUAAAUCUAGUUAUAAUAAAUGACAGAGGGCAUUGAAGCAGAUGCAAGAAGCAAAAUAUACAGGUGUAAAGACAAACUAUAUUAGGCCUCCCAUCAAGCUUCUCUAAUAUUUUCACAGCACAGCCCUGCCUGACUUCUCUCUAUCUGGGUAGGCCCCUUCUGUUUGCUAAACCAGUUCUCUGAUGUUGACUACCUGAUUCUCUAGUCCUCAAGUUGACUCAUCCUGUUUAUUGAGAGUGACAUUUUUAGACUACUAAUAAUAUUUAUAUGUAAGAAAGAAACUGAGUUUUUAUAUAAAUAUAUAAUCUUUUCAAAUAAAAGAUUAUAAUCAAGGAACUGUAAAUAAUAGAAAAAUUACAUAACAUCUCCCUAUUUGGGGAUUGGUUAAAUGCAAUAAUAUAGAAGUCUGAAAAAAUAAUGACUGUAUUACAAAAGAAUAUAAAAAUAAUUGAAGACUAGGAGUUAUGUCUACCAACUAAUUCAGUCAUUUGGCUGUUUAUUCUCAUUUGAACAGUAGUGGAUUAAAACAAAAACAAAAAGACUUUCGACUUCCAUCACAGGGAGAAAAGGAUCAAGUACACAUUAGAGAAAGCUGAUGGCAAUGAUUUCUAGUUUCAGUUUCUAUUUUCUGUCAAUUAACCAUCAUUUUGGUAAACAGCUUUUUUAAAUGUCUUUUCUUUUAAUUUUUAAAUUUUUACUUUAAAGACAGGGUCUCACUAUGUUGCGAAGGCAUUGGCCUCAAACUCAUGGACUCAAGUGAUCUUCCUGCCAUAGCCUCCCUAGGUGCACAUCACCAUACCCAGCUAUUAAUGUCUUUAUAAAAGCAUUUUUAACCCUACUGGUCUAGCUAUUGCAUCAAAUAAAUAGCUAAUUCCAUUGAGGAAGGAUUAGGGACUCACGAGUGAAAAUAAAUGUUUUAUUUGGAUAAUGGCUACAAAAUCUCAACAGUCAAAAUAAAUCAGAGAUUAAAGCCAUGAUGAUGACUUAAAAGAUAAAGUUAGGUAGAAAUGUGAACUAAGGGAAAUGACUCAACACAUUCAGCAACACAAAACUGUGGCCUAAAUUCACUCUGACAGUUGUUAUGCUAUCUCCUGCUGCCCGAGUAGAGUAAGUUAUGAACAAGACACAUGAAGGGGAUCAGGCAGACAUAUGGUCAAAUGCUUUCUGUGCAAUAUGUCUGUCUCCAUAUUAUCUUCUCUGUCUCAUUGCACUUUGGACAUUUUUAUUCUUCCUGCAGAUCUAUUUUUAUGAAGCAAUGUGAUUUAAAUAAAAAGAGCACUGAAUUCUCAGCCAGAUAUUUGAGUUCUAGUUGAAGAUUUAUCACCUAGUGGUUAUGAGAUUUGGGGCAAAUUGCUUAAUCUCUCUCUUUCUUUACCAGUUCGUUUGUAAGUUUUCUUGCCUCCCUACAGGACUGUAUUGGGGAUCAAUCAAUGUUGAGUUGAAGGCAACAUGGUUUAAGUUGGCUUAAUGGAGAAGUGGUAAAUCACUUAAACGGGUAGAACAACACAGUGUAGAGGAUGUUGGGCUGCAUGAGGAAGUGUGGAAAAAAAGCAUGCCAUGAAAAUAUCAUCACAAUCUCACAUUUCUUCUUUUAUUUGCACACUCUGAACACCUGCAUGUGAUAAGGACUGUGCAAGGUUCUCAGGAUACCCAGGUAAAAAUCACCACUUCUGCCAGUCUUGACUUUGCAAGCUUGAGGAGCAGACCUGGAGAAAUUUGGCUAUUACCACACCAAAGUUGUUCCUCACAUUCCCUUUGACAUAUGGUCUCAGGAAAAAAUGAAAAGAGUAAAAAAAAAAAAGUCCUUCAUUUUUGAAAGGAAAAGUCAUAAUUAAUUUCUAGAAGGAGAAAGAAAAAAAGAGAUAACAGUGUGUGAAAAGGCUUAGAAAAUGCUAGAGCACUACAGAAAGAUAACAUGAGAUUAUGUCUAAGAGUAGCUUGGUUAUUUUGCUUUUGUUGACAAAGUAUACCUCCUUCAUUUUCAUAGUUGUCAUAAUUCUUUCCAUGAUUUUCUUAGUGGGUUUGUUUAGGAAAAACUAUAUUCUUUCUUUAUUCAUCUAACUCUCCUUAACUCCAAAAGAUGCUUCUUAGGAUAACAUUUUAAAAGGAUAUACAUUACGCACAUUUUUAAUGCUUCUAUACAGGACUGAAGGCCAAUAUUACCAUGAUAAUAAGGCAUGUAACAAAAAUUUGUUCUGCAGAGGGUGAGAAAGCGUGAGGGAAAACACAGUGCAGGAUUCUAUGCUGUUGCCCAAGAACCCAGACAGGCAAGUGAAAUAAUAGAGCAGACAAUUCCUGAGGCUGUGGUCGAUAUGAUUAGGAGAUAGUGGGUAAAAAUGGCCUUUAAACUAUAUACACAUGAGAAGAUAGAUGUGAAAGCCCAUUGCAAAGGCAAUAAAAUUAUGCAAAUAUAAAAUAUCACUAUUAAAAUGUAUGAUGAAUUGACCAUGAAAACGGUUCCAGUGCUGGGCCAGAAAUCAGGAAACAUGGGCUUUUGGUUUCUCACCAUUAAAAUGAAGAAGUUGGAUUUAUACCCAAGGGUACCUUGUGGGCUGUAUGGCUUCUAAGUAACUGGUCAUAACAAAAGGGACACAAUCAGGUCAGUUUCAAAACCAAGAAUAAAAUGGGAAAUUAAAGAACUGAAUUGGCUACUUUCUGCUCAAAUGAUUGUUAAAAAUAAAGUUUAAAAAAAGCCCCAAGGACUAUGCAGUGCAGUGAGCAGAGGCUCCCGAUAUUAAAAAGAAAACAAGGAAAAUGGAUUCCUGGUGAUAGAAGUGGUGUGGGGGAAGACAAAUAGUGUGGCUGCAAAUGGAACAAUAUGCAAAAGAAAAGUAGCUAAAUAUAGCUCUUUUUUGGGAAAGAGAUUGUGUCUAAGUCCAUCAGUGGAAAGGCAACUUAAUUGUUGUAUAAGUCUGUUCAGGUUGCCAUAACAAGAUACCAUACACCAAGUGGCUUAAACUAUAGAAAUGUAUUUCUCACACUUCUGGAAGUUGGGAAGUCCAAGAUAAAGGUGGUAGCAAAGCGGAUUUCUUCCUAAGGUCUCUUCCUAUGGCCUGUAAGUGGCUGUAGAUUCACUGUGUGCCCAUGUGACCAUUUCUUUGUGCACCAGGGGGAAGGCGUACAAACAAGCUUUCUAGUGUCUCUCUUCUUGUAAUGGCAUUAAUCUCAGCAUGAGGACACCACUCUCAUAACCUCUUUUAAUCCUGAUUACCUCUCAAAGGCCCCAGCUGCAUAAAUCAUCACAGUGGGUGUUAGGGCUUCAACAUUUAAGUGCGGGAGUUGGUGUUCACAUUUCAGUCAAUUGAGGUGGCAAUUGAAAUGAGAAAGGAAAACCAUAGUUACUAGAGAGAACUGUUGUCUUGGGGAGGAUCACUGGACAGGACUACGGUCCUGUCCAGGUUGUUAUGGCAACCUGAACAGACUUAUACAACAAUCCAGUCCUAGAGGCAAUACAACUUCUCUGCUGAUUCCAGAUUCUGAGCGCCUCUCAGUCCUUGGUUGGGUUGUUUUGAUCCUGUCCAUAUUAUAUUUAUAAAUAUUCUCUUCAUAAAACUCUCUUUAGGCCGGGCGUGGUGGCUCACGCCUGUAAUCCCAGCACUUUGGGAGGUCAAGAGAUCGAGACCAUCCUGGCCAACGUGGUGAAACCCGCUCUCUACUAAAAAUACAAAAAAUUAGCCGGGUGUGGUAGCGGGUGCCUGUAGUCCCAGCUACUCGGGAGGCUGAGGCAGGAGAAUGGCGUGAACCCGGGAGGCGGAGCUUGCAGUGAGCCGAGAUGGCACCACUGCACUCCAGCCUGGGCGGCAGAGCGAGACUCCAUCUCAAAAAAAAAAAAAAAAAGCACCACAACUCUCUUUAAAUCACACAUCCGAGUGUGCCCCUUGUUUCCCACCAGAGCCAAGACUGAAUUGAGAUGAUUUCUUAAGGUCAGGUUGAUGUCCUAAUCCAGUUGUGCUGCUAUAACAAAAUACCACAGAGUGAGUAACUUAUAAACAACAAAAAUUUAUUGCUCACAGUUAUGGAGGAUGGUCAGUCCAAGAUCAAGUUGCCAGCAGGUUCAGUGUCUAGUGAAGGCCCAUUCCUCUGUCAUCCAGGCUGAAGUGCAGUGUUGCAAGCUUGGGUCACUGCAACCUUCACCUCCCAGGCUCAAGUAAUCCUCCCACCUCAGCCUCCUGAGUAGCUGGGACCACAGGUGCUCACCACCAUGCCUGGCUAAUUUUUUUUUUUUUUUUGUAGAGAUGGGGUUUCACCAUGUUUCCCAGGCUGGUCUCAAACUCCUGGACUCAGGCAAUCUGCCAGCCUCCUGAGGGAGUGCUGGGAUUACAGGCAUGAGCCACUGUGCCCACCCCCAAAAUUCUACUCAUAUAUAUGCAUAAUUACAUAGUUACCAGCCAUCAUUUUCUGAUACUUUGAUUGGCAAUUGGUGGAAAGAGUUUAUCUAAAGACCUGGAAUCCACAGACGGGAGUCUCUGUGUUAAGGGGUUGCUCUUAUUAUGCAGAUGAAGCCUCCAGGUAGCAGGCUUCAGAGAGAAUUGAUUGUAAAUGUUUCUUAUCAGACUUAAAAAGGUGCCUAGAUUAGGGAAAAGGCCUGGAAAGUGAUUCCCUAUAGCAUGUAGACUUUCCCCACAAGAGACAACUUUGUAGGGACAUUUCAAAAUAUGAUAAACAAUGUAUUUUAGGGUAAAAUAUUUUUAUUUCUUUCAGGGCCUGCUAUCUGUCAUGUAAUGCUACACUAGAGUCAGCCUGGAGUUUGGUGUCUUAUUGCUACAAAAAGUCUUAAGAUCGCUGUUGUAAUGUCAGUUGGGCCUGGUCGGAUGUGCUGGUCAGUUGUGCCUGAAUUCAAAAGGAAGAAGGGUAUAAUGAGGCAUAUCUGACCCCUACUUCCCAUCAUGGUCUGAACCAGUUUUUCAGGUUAACUUUGGAAUGACCCUGGCUGAGAGGAGGGGUGCAUUCAAAUAGUUGAGGGGCUUGGAAUUUUAUUUGUGGUUUACACUAUAGAAAGUAUUUUUCCAGUAUUACCUGGACAAUGUAUCUCCCUGUCAGUAUCCAGGGAAUGGCACCUGGAUCAAGCAUUUAGUGUUCAGUUGCUACACUCUCACCUAAUCCCUCAUUUUCAAUAUUUUGCCAUGUUUUCCAGUGACCCAACUGGCCACCAUGUCACAGACUUUAUGGUCUCCAAGGGAGACCCCUCCAUUUCAUGUUUUGUGAUUUGAGCAACAGACUGGAAUCUACUUGAAAUUUGCAAAUGGUCUUUGACUUGGGCUUUCCAAUUUUGCUCUACUUCACAGUGUUUUCUGGGUUAUAUACAAGGGAGAUGAUCCAGUCAUUUGUUAAGCGCCUCAAAUAAGACAUGCCUUAGAUGUUUUUCUGUUUGUUUGUUUGUUUUGUCAAAUUGGGAUUAUUUUUGUGUCUUUGGAGAAUAUAAAAUACUAAUAUGAGGUAAGCACUAAGGUUCUGAGAUGUCCGUGGAAGAGAUGACAAACUCCAUCACCAUGCCUGAGAGUGUCCAAUCGUCUCUGCGGGGGCCACAUAUUUUUGUAUUACACUGUAUUUGAAAUAACAACAACAACAAAAAACUCUUCAAGAUUCAUAAAAUUGGACAACUGUCUUUGUAACACUUCUAGUGGUAAAACCAGUAAGGAUGGCUAGUUUGCAACCCAUCUGAGCAGCCUCUCUGGUUUCAUAGAUAUGUUUUCUCUCUGACAUUGAACGGCUUUCAACUUUAAGCGGAAUGCUACAUCACAAAGAUAAACAGGUUUGAAAGGAACCGGUUUUCCUUGUAAUCCUAAACGUUCAAGUCUGCGCAUUAAAAGACAUUAUCUGAAGAAGGGUGCACAAGCUUCCUGUUGGCCGCCAGAAGGGUUCUCUGCACGACACAGAUCAAGUACCACAGUCUUAGGGGGAGACCAGACGCGGGGUCUCUGCGCACCUCCCCAAAGGACAAUGGCAGGAGGAAAAGGAGAAAGAGACAGACGUCACUUCCUCCGCCAGCUCCGGCAGCGGGUUGAUCGGCUGAGUCGGCGGAGGGUGGGGCGGAAGAGCAGAUGGGGACUGGGAAAGGCGCUGUCGGUGACAUCACGGAUAGGGCGAUUUCUAUGUAGAUGAGGCAGAGCAGGGGCUGCUGCUUCGCCACGAAGGAGUUCCCGUGCCGUGGGAGCGGGUUCAGGACCGCUGGUCGGACCUGAGAGUCCCAGCUAUGUGUCAGGGCUAGGAGGGCUG